rnacentral:rRNA from 1 species
UACGAAGGGGGCUAGCGUUGUUCGGAAUUACUGGGCGUAAAGCGCGCGCAGGCGGUCUUCCAAGUCAGUGGUGAAAGCCCGGAGCUCAACUCCGGAAUUGCCAUUGAAACUGUGAGACUGGAGUACGAGAGAGGUGAGUGGAAUUCCCCGUGUAGAGGUGAAAUUCGUAGAUAUUGGGAAGAACACCGGUGGCGAAGGCGGCUCACUGGCUCGUAACUGACGCUCAGGCGCGACAGCGUGGGGAUCAAACAGG